AGGAUAUUUGACCGAACGGCAAGGUGCUGGCCUGCAAAGCCAUGCUUACCGGGUUCGACUCCCGGAAUAACCUC
rnacentral:tRNA from 1 species